CUGCACUGUUCGUAACCUGGUUCAGUGUUCAGUGUGAACUCUGGUUCCAUUCCAGUGCGAGAGGAAGCUCCAUUGAGGCAGGGGAGCAGUGCCUGCUUGUGCUGACUCCCUGUUCACUCUCUGGAAACAUCU